rnacentral:rRNA from 1 species
AGAGUUUGAUCCUGGCUCAGGAUGAACGCUAGCGAUAGGCUUAACACAUGCAAGUCGAGGGGCAGCACAAGGUAGCUUGCUAUCUGGGUGGCGACCGGCGCACGGGUGCGUAACGCGUAUGCAACUUGCCCUAUACAGGAGGAUAACCCGUCGAAAGACGGACUAAUACUGCGUAUGCUCACAACUUGGCAUCAAGAAGUGAGGAAAGAAAUUCGGUAUAGGAUAGGCAUGCGUCCCAUUAGCUUGUUGGUGAGGUAACGGCUCACCAAGGCAACGAUGGGUAGGGGAACUGAGAGGUUUAUCCCCCACACUGGUACUGAGACACGGACCAGACUCCUACGGGAGGCAGCAGUGAGGAAUAUUGGUCAAUGGGCGAGAGCCUGAACCAGCCAAGUCGCGUGAAGGAUGACUGUCUUAUGGAUUGUAAACUUCUUUUAUACGGGAAUAACAAGAGUCACGUGUGACUCCCUGCAUGUACCGUAUGAAUAAGCAUCGGCUAACUCCGUGCCAGCAGCCGCGGUAAUACGGAGGAUGCGAGCGUUAUCCGGAUUUAUUGGGUUUAAAGGGUGCGUAGGCGGCCUGUUAAGUCAGCGGUGAAAUCUAGGAGCUUAACUCCUAAAUUGCCAUUGAUACUGGCGGGCUUGAGUGUAGAUGAGGUAGGCGGAAUGCGUGGUGUAGCGGUGGAAUGCAUAGAUAUCACGCAGAACUCCGAUUGCGAAGGCAGCUUACUAAGGUACAACUGACGCUGAAGCACGAAAGCGUGGGUAUCAAACAGGAUUAGAUACCCUGGUAGUCCACGCUGUAAACGAUGAUAACUGGGCGUAUGCGAUAUACAGUAUGCUCCUAAGCGAAAGCGUUAAGUUAUCCACCUGGGGAGUACGCCGGCAACGGUGAAACUCAAAGGAAUUGACGGGGGCCC